rnacentral:rRNA from 1 species
UACGGGGGGGGCAAGCGGUUGUUCGGAAUUACUGGGCGUAAAGGGCUCGUAGGUGGCCAACUAAGUCAGACGUGAAAUCCCUCGGCUUAACCGGGGAACUGCGUCUGAUACUGGAUGGCUUGAGUUUGGGAGAGGGACGCGGAAUUCCAGGUGUAGCGGUGAAAUGCGUAGAUAUCUGGAGGAACACCGGUGGCGAAGGCGGCAUCCUGGACCAAUUCUGACACUGAGGAGCGAAAGCCAGGGGAGCAAACGGG